GAUUAUUUUCUGAUUAAUUUCCUCUGUUGAUUACAUGACCGGUUAUGUUUUCAGGUGGUGACAUACGCAAAUCACAGUCACAAUUAUGCCUCUGCUCUAAGAAUAAACUUCACCACUAAGAAGAACUAUUUCCAUUCCUCCACAACUUCAACCGUUACCUCCUCCGAUUCAAUGUAUUCAUGGUGAAAAUCAACCUCCAAAAUACGCUCCCGUAUCCUCUCCCUCUCUUCUCUCCUCUCAUGAGAUUCUCACUCUCCCUUCUCCCUUUCUUCACUAGCCGACUCCGAUCGUCCCGCCCAUCUCAUUCCUCUCUUCAAUUGACGCUUACAAUCUCCUCCCUUUAGUUCUCUCAAAACUGUACACUGAUAACACUUGGAACAGGAAGGGGAAGGUGCCGCUGCAUCCGAGGAAACUAAGAAGUGCAACCACGUUCUAAGGAAGCUUAAUUUCGAGAUUGUAAGCGUCGAUUUAGGGUCGUUCUACUGUUGGUUUUGUAAAACAAAACACAAGUUGCAUCUGAAAUAUCAUGCAUUAGUGAAUGAAGAUGCUACAUGAGCAGCACUGUGAAUAUGGAAAUUUUG